rnacentral:rRNA from 1 species
GUGUCAGCAGCCGCGGUAAGACGAACCGUGCGAACGUUAUUCGGAAUCACUGGGCUUAAAGGGUGCGUAGGCUGGUUGCCAAGUCUGUGGUGAAAUCCUCCGGCUUAACCGGAGAACUGCCGUGGAUACUGGCGACCUCGAGUGGGGUAGGGGCUUGCGGAACUGUGCGUGGAGCGGUGAAAUGCGUUGAUAUGCACAGGAACUCCGGUGGCGAAGGCGGCGAGCUGGACCCUAACUGACGCUGAGGCACGAAAGCCAGGGGAGCGAACGGGAUUAGAUACCCCCGUAGUCC